CCUACGGGUGGCAGCAGUGAGGAAUAUUGGUCAAUGGGCGGGAGCCUGAACCAGCCAAGCCGCGUGAGGGAAGAAGGUACAGCGUAUCGUAAACCUCUUUUGUCAGGGAACAAAGGCGGGGACUAGUCCCCGGAUGAGGGUACCUGAAGAAAAAGCAUCAGCUAACUCCGUGCCAGCAGCCGCGGUAAUACGGAGGAUGCGAGCGUUAUCCGGAUUUUUGGGGGUAAAAGGGGGCGAAGGGGGCCUGUAAAGCCGGCGGUAAAAGCCCGGGGUUCAACCCCGGCGAGCCGUUGAAACUGGCGGGCUGGAGUUGGAGAGAAGUACGCGGAAUGCGCGGUGUAGCGGUGAAAUGCUUAGAUAUCGCGCAGAACCCCGAUUGCGAAGGCAGCGUACCGGCUCCACACUGACGCUGAGGCACGAAAGCGUGGGUAUCGAACAGGAUUAGAUACCCGUGUAGUC
rnacentral:rRNA from 1 species